rnacentral:lncRNA from 1 species
GGGUAAGGUAGGAGGAUUGCCUGAGCCCAGGAAUUCAAGGCUGUGCCACUGCACUCCAGUCUGGGCGGCAGUGAGAUCCUGCCUCUAAAUACAGUACAAUGCAAUACAAGACAAGACAAGACAAAAAUGAAGUUUGCCACAUCAAUUGAGCGUUUCACAGAAAAAUUUAUUUGUAGCAUGUGAUGCUCUAUGGUAGCAUUUUAACCAGAGAACUUUUUAAAAAAACUGAAGUUGAUUCUCUCAAACCUUUCUAUUGCUUUAUUAACAUUGUUGUUUUAACAAUAUUCACAGCAUCUUCACCAAAAGUAGAUUCCAUCUCAAGAAACCACUUUCCUCAUUCAUCCAUGAGAAACAACUCCAACUCCUCAUCCAUUCAAGUUUUAUUACGAGAUUGCUGCAAUCUAGUCACAUCUCUCCCAUUCUUUUUCUUUUUUUAAGACGAUCUUACUCUGUCACCCAGGCUGGAAUGCAGUGGCACGAUCAUGUCUCACUGCAAAUUUUGCCUCCUGAGCUCAAGGAAUCCUCCCACCUUGGCCUCUUGAGUGGCUGGGACUAUAGUUACAUGCCACCAUGUCCAGCUAAUUUUUUUUUUAUAGAGAUGGGGUUUUUCCCUGUUGCCCUGGCUGAUCUUGAACCCCUGGGCUCAAGUGAUCCACCCCACAAAGUGCUGGUAUUACAGGCAUGAGCCACUGUGUCCAACCCGGGCUCCACUUAACCCUUUGAAGUCAUCCAUGAGGAUGGGAACCAACUUCUUCCAAACUCCAGUUAAUGUUGGUAUUUUCACUUCCUGUCGUGAAUCAUGAAUUUCUUUUUUUCAGAUGGAGUCUCACCCUGUCACCCAGACUGGAGUGCAAUGGCACAAUCUUGGCUCACUGCAACCUCUGCCUCCUGGUACAAAAGCAAGAGCCUGUAAUUCCUCCCUGUGCUCUCUGUUGCUUGGAGACAGAGAUGUAUAUUAUCAUGUUAGGAUCCUCACAAUUCACAGGCUGCCCCUUCCUUUACACCACCUCUUAUGGAAUGAACAUACCACAUCUUGGUUCACCUUCUCUCAGUCAAAUGUAGUGAACUCUGGGACAAAUGGGGUUGGACUUAUUUUCCCGGAGAUGAUAUCUGUAUGAAGGGCAAGGUAAGUGAGAUUUAAAAAAGGAAUCUCUACAGUUUUCUAUGUCAGUGGCAGAAUAAGAGUGGAUAGAUAGGCUUAGACCAAUGCAGGAGAGGUUAGGUUUAACACUGGGUAGAACAAACAGUGUUUGGAAUUGGGAGACACCGGACUCUGAAACAUUAGUACUUUUUAAGACCUGGGUGUCAUCUUUU